UGGAGUGGUAGUUCAGUUGGUUAGAAUACCGGCCUGUCACGCCGGGGGUCGCGGGUUCGAGUCCCGUCCACUCCGCCAU
rnacentral:tRNA from 2 species